GGAGGGUGCGAGCGUUAAUCGGAAUUACUGGGCGUAAAGCGAGUGCAGGCGGCUGCGUAAGUCGGAUGUGAAAGCCCUGGGCUUAACCUGGGAAUGGCAUUCGAAACUGCGCAGCUAGAGUCUGGUAGAGGGAAGUGGAAUUCCAGGUGUAGCGGUGAAAUGCGUAGAUAUCUGGAGGAACAUCAGUGGCGAAGGCGGCUUCCUGGACCAAGACUGACGCUCAGGCUCGAAAGCGUGGGGGUAGCAAACAGGAUUAGAUACCCUGGUAGUCCACGCCCCUAAACCGAUGUCAACUAGACGUUGGGUUCAUUAAAGAACUUAGUGUCGAAGCUAACGCGUUAAGUUGACCGCCUGGGAGUACGGCCGCAAGGUUG
rnacentral:rRNA from 1 species